rnacentral:rRNA from 1 species
AUUGAACGCUGGCGGCAGGCUUAACACAUGCAAGUCGAGCGGCCGGCGGACGGGUGGGUAAUGUCUGGGAAACUCCCGGAGGGGGGGGGAUAACUCCGGGAAACGGUAGCUAAUACCGAAUACAAUAAAAUGUGCCCAAAUGGGAUUAGCUAGUGGGUGGGUUAAUGGCUAACCUAGGCGCCGAUCCCUAGUGGGGCUGAGGGGAUGACCAGCCACACUGGAACUGAGACACGGUCCAGACUCCUACGGGAGGCAGCAGUGGGGAAUAUUGCACAAUGGGCGCAAGCCUGAUGCAGCCAUGCCGCGUGUAUGAAGAAGGCCCUAGGGUUGUAAAGUACUUUCAGUCGGGAGGCGUUACCGACAGAAGAAGCACCGGCUAACUCCGUGCCAGCAGCCGCGGUAAUUC